rnacentral:rRNA from 1 species
UCGGGUCUAGCGGCGGACGGGUGAGUAACGCGUGGGAACGUGCCCUUCUCUACGGAAUAGCCCCGGGAAACUGGGAGUAAUACCGUAUACGCCCUUUGGGGGAAAGAUUUAUCGGAGAAGGAUCGGCCCGCGUUGGAUUAGGUAGUUGGUGGGGUAAUGGCCCACCAAGCCGACGAUCCAUAGCUGGUUUGAGAGGAUGAUCAGCCACACUGGGACUGAGACACGGCCCAGACUCCUACGGGAGGCAGCAGUGGGGAAUCUUAGACAAUGGGGGCAACCCUGAUCUAGCCAUGCCGCGUGAGUGAUGAAGGCCUUAGGGUUGUAAAGCUCUUUCAGCUGGGAAGAUAAUGACGGUACCAGCAGAAGAAGCCCCGGCUAACUCCGUGCCAGCAGCCGCGGUAAUACGGAGGGGGCUAGCGUUGUUCGGAAUUACUGGGCGUA